CUGAUCUCAUUUGAUGUAUUAUUUCUUUGAUUAAGUUAUAUUGCAAUAUUAUCUUCGUACAUGUGAUUGGAAUACUCGUUUUUAGAGAAAUCUCUCAUUUUUUACAAAUAUAAAGAAUCAUUGAUCUCAAUCAAACACACUCUCGACUUGCUUCAUGAAUAAAUAUUAUUUUAAGAUAUUGAUGUGUCUCCACACGUAAACAAAUAACUCAUUUAAGAUCGAACAUUUGCGGAUCAAUAAGUAUCUUGCAUAUGCACAUUAUAUUAAUAACUUAUGACCUAAAUAUAUAAAGAAAAUAUUAUUUUAUGACAAUGAAAAUCCGCAGGCGCUACAUUUUGUGUGACAGGUAAAAACAUCCUCCUAUGCAAUAAUUCGCAAACCAUAUAGGAGAGGUAACCCAAUUUUUUUUUUUUUUUAUGAGAAUUGAUUCUACAUGAGUUUUAGGGUUUUGGACAGCAACUCAGUAGUUUGAGUUCAUAGCUACUUUUUUCAAAUCAAACAUGCAGCCACCCACUCCAUCUUUAAGUCGUAACUUCACCAUUACGUUGCGGUGUGCGAUCAAUCUUGUCGGCAUUCCAUUUUACUAGUGAGAGAGAGCCUUUGGAUUCAGAGAGACUGAAAAAUUGGAAGAAAGAUAUUUUUUUAAGUUUAGGAAUUUAAUUUAAUUUUAACAUUUUAUUUCUUAUAUGGCAAUUAAAAAUAACGUAAAAUUUGACGAUUGAUAUUGAGUGAUUGUAUCUCACAUACCAUCCAUCACAUGAGAAAGGGUUUAAAAUAACGAAUUUUCAACAAGUUCAGUUAGUAAAGUGUUAAGUACAUGUGUUCACAAUACAACUCUUUUACUUAAAAAAAAAUUAAUAAUAUUUAUUUAUAAAAACUCUUUCACAUUUUUUGAAUUAAAAGAAAAUGAGAAAUGCUUUGACAAGGAUUUUUGCCCGACGCCGGUAUGAUUCAGAGGAAUAUUUGGCCAUAUUACGCCUAGAAAAUGAAUAAAGCUGUUUGGGAGAAGUACCAACUACCAACAGGUUAAAGAAAAGCGAGGGAUUUGAUAUCACCAGAUUAUCCCGUACAGUGUGCGAUGACAACUGUCUACCCUGUGCCAUACUACUUGAAUGAUCCUAAGAAUGUUGAGAUACAAUUAUGAAAUGGGCAUCAAUUAUGAGGUCAAUGACAUUUUGACGGUGGACGGAGGUGGUUGUCGUGACUUCGUCUUCUAUAUCACCUCUUCUGUCAAAACGCCUGAUGGUAAGGAUGUCAUUUUGACGGUGAUCAGGCCGAAGGUAAAAGCUUUUAUUGGUUAAGGCUGCUAUCAGCAACAUUAUGUCAUACAUUCUAUUUCUUCUGAUAUUUUUAGUGUGCUCAUAUUUCUUCAGAUGCUUUCAGCAUGUUUUAUUUAUAACCAGAGUCUUAAUAGAAUCAUGUGUCUAUGAGAUUAGGCUAUUGUACCACAAAAUCAGUAAUUGCGUAUCAGAAUGGAUACCAGAGUUGCUUUGUCAUGUUAUGUAAUUUGUAUGUCUGGUAAAUUUAACUGAUAGUAUGUGCUAUCUCCCCUUUGCCAGUGAUCUUUAACUUUUAGUUUAAUGAACAAAUACAUUAAUUUUGAAGGGGUAAAUUUCAGUAAAAAUAGCACUGCCCGAGAAGUUCUUUACUGCCUUUUUUCCUCUUAGCGCUGCUUUAUAUUCACCUUAAGGAUGUUAAAUAAGUGCUUGGGUAACUAGAAGCUUAGAGAGCAGUGAUGCUCCAGUAGUUCCUAAAUUGACGUGUAAAUCUCUAGUCUGAAACGUGAGUUUGCUAAGUCGAAAACCCCCCACCUUAUAGUAGGGUUCACCGAGAUGGUUACUAAAUUUAUGAUACUCAUAAGUUUUACUCCGCCCAAGUAGAUAGCUGAGUGGUCAAAUGAACCGUGUUUGUGCCUUUUCUCCAUCUCUCAACCUACCUUUUGCAAAAAAAUAAAUAAAUAUCAUCUCCAUUGUGAUGAGCAGGCAGGUUUGGCUUUCUGUUACCAGGCAGAGCUUUUGAAAAAAAAUUUUAGUAGAUUUUGAUUGCAAUGGAGUUCACUGAUUAAUAAUCAAAAAUGAAGUUUGAGGUCUAAUCGCAAUGUUUUUUUGUUGUUAUUGCUUCAAUAUGUGUAUCCCCUUUUCAAACUAUUUGGCAAAGCUUAUUUAAGGUUUAUUGAAAACAACCUCUCUAUUUCUACGAGGUAGGGGUAUGCGUACACUCUACCCUCCUCGGAUCAGACCUCACUUGUGGGAUUACAGUAUGUUGUUGUAAUUUAGGAAAGGAUUCUUUUUUGAACAUUGUUUAAAAGCGAACUUGGCAAUUGUUAGUAUGCAAAUUUCUCAUUGUUUCAAAUCCAUCUCAAGCACAGUUUUCUUGCAUUGUACACAGAGACUUCUAGCCACAAUAUGCAAAAUUUUCUUGAAUAAUCUCACUUUGCAGUAGGGGCUUGCCUACGGACAAAGCUUUAAUAGCUUGGUUUGCCUGUUUGACUCCAUAAAAGGGGCUAACUUCUGAAGCCAUGCUUACCUAGCAAGUCAUCAAAUGGAAAUGGAUGGUCACUUUUAGUAAGAGGACAUCUUAUUUUUGGGUAUAGGGUAAGAAGGAACAAGCCACCAUUUGUGCUUGUGUUCUUAAACGUAAGGAAUAUAGACCAAUCAGGAUGAGGCAAAUUUUUCGUCCUCUAAAGGACAACAAGGAGAUGUCAAUUAUAAUUGCUGCAAGUUCCUGUUUGUUUAAAGAAACAAUCUUUUGAUAACCUUACCUGGUCUAACUUGGAUUUUGGAUCACUGUCAAUCAAGAAGCUACCUAGGCAGCGUCCUUGCACCAGAUGCUGCUGCAGCUGCAUCAUUAUGGAUCAUGCUGACUGAAGAAUAAAGUCACUCUAGCGAGAUCAAUCUACCCCCACCAUCAAUGCUCAGACCUACGGAUGCUCUAUCUUGAGAUUCGCUUUGACAUAGUACCUCUAUGUGCUGAUAUAAGUAUCUUAUGCAAUCUACUCUUCAUCUCCCCUUGUUCUUGCACGUGAAACGUAGAAACAUUUGUUCAGUUGGAAAAUUAACGAAGUGGUAGUAAGAAUGCUGCAUUGCUACCUGGUGGUUUCGUUGCAUUACGUAAUAAACUUUGCUUUGGUUUCUCCUCCUUGGUAUUUUUCGAGAUCAAGCUGAGUAUAAUGCAGCAUUAUUAAGGUGGAAUCUAAGAUGUAAUUACUAUACAGUAACAGAAUAAGUUUCUGUGUUUAAAAUCUGUUUCAAAGGAAAUGUUCUGUUCAGUAUCA